rnacentral:misc_RNA from 1 species
UGGUUCUGGCAUCGAUGAAGAACGCAGCGAAAUGCGAUAAGUAAUGUGAAUUGCAGAAUUCAGUGAAUCAUCGAAUCUUUGAACGCACAUUGCGCCCCUUGGCAUUCCGGGGGGCAUGCCCGUUCGAGCGUCAUGCACAAACCUCAAGCCUGGCUUGGUAUUGGGCCCCGGGACCAACCCGGACCUCAAAUGCGUCGGCCAUUGGGAGUGCUGCAGCCGGCGCCGUAACCACUUACUGGCGCGCGGCUCGCACGGCCCGCCUCACGCGUCCGCGUCGGUCGUCGACCGAAACACGAGUUUGACCUCGGAUCGGGUAGGAAUACCCGCUGA